UUGAUAGCCAUUCUCCGCACCCUAUUAGUAUUAAUGUGGUUUUUAAUGCAAAUAUGCUUCACGCCUGCCGCGUGGACUACAUGGUUAGUGUCCGUCCGAGGAUAAUGAGCAGAUCUAACGGCAAAUUUCCCUUGUCCCCGCUGCAAUAUGUGACCAGGUCGACUGAGAGCAAAUUGUCUCGCCCAGCCCACAAAGUUUUCCAGUUGAAUUUCGAAGAAAUCUCUCCUCCGUAUUUCAAACGGUAACAUGUACCACAGUAUAUUUCCUCCAUCGCAGCACAACUGAGACUUACUGAGCGAUUCUCUGGGAAAAUAACCAUGCGUCUCCACAGUAACUAGUUUUGUUCGCUGAUUACCUCACCCGGCAGGCCAUCUUCGCCGGUGGCUUUGUUGUUCUUCAGCCCCCCAAUCUCCCGCUGGAUUUUUUGGUGGUCGGGGGCUGAUACUCGGUCAUCUACUGCUGGCACUACCAGGUCCGUUCCAGUUCCGUUUCUGUUUGUUGCAUCGCCAUGCAGAUGUUCAUCGAAGUGCUGCUUCCACCUGUCGACCACCUCGCUAUCGUUUAUAAUGAGAUUACUUUCCACAUCUUUGCAAUCGGCAUGGACCUAGGCGGUUGGAAAAGGACAACGAUUAUUGGAAAUUCGGUACAUCGAAUCUGAGAACUCUACUCAAAACCGGCACGCGCAGGUAUCCUGGCUAGAGAGCUGCGGCAGGUGAAUGUUGAUCAUACUGACGCGAGG